GCGGAAGUAGCUCAGUUGGUAGAGCAUCAGCUUCCCAAGCUGGAGGUCGCGGGUUCAAGUCCCGUCUUCCGCU
rnacentral:tRNA from 1 species